rnacentral:lncRNA from 1 species
CUUGGCUGGAGAUUCUGCAGGAGUCCAGGAUCACUUCUUCCGUUCUCAUGCACUUACUGCUAAAGAAAUGUGCUUAUCUCCUAUUUCUGUCCAAAAAAGAUGAUCAUCAAGAAAAGUGGAUAAGUUAUGAACUUUUUAAGCUUCAUCCUGCAAAUAAGGUUUGAAUAUCCCAUAAGGAAAUCAAUGCCAUUUUCCUGCUGUCUCUUCUGUCUCUGUAAGAGAUGUCCUGCAUAAGUCAUCCCCUGCACUUUACUUACAGUUAUUCUUUUAUUUCUCUAGGUGACUCAAGGCUGAGCUCCCGUUGUUGCUCUUAACUUGAUCUAAGCCUCCUUUCCUAGCUUCUCCAAGAGCAUUUUGGAACCACUUUGCCCUGAAACCCUGAGAUCAGAGGAGAACACUGGGGGAUUAGGUUUAAACUUGUUAAACUGAAUUAACACUCCUACCACAUGAUUCUGGCCUGUGCCAGUCCUUCUAAUCUUGUUCAGAGUUUAGGAUAAUUUGUUUAGUAGUGCUGAUCAGCUGGAGGUUAAUUCAAUUGGAGUUUGGUUAUUUAUUCAUGCCCGGAUUUGCUAAGUGUCACAGCAGAUACAUGAGGUCUCUGUUGCAGUUAUGAGACGGCUUCAUUAGUGUGACGGAGAGUCCAUCUGGAUGACUUCCUUUCCUCACUGCAAUAACUGGCUGUCAGGGCUCUCUCCAGUGGAAGAAAUCCUUAUAUAAUGUCUCCCUUUCAUUUGUGUCAUAAGUGUAUUGAUUGCAACUUAAAAUAUACUUCUCUGUUCUGAUUGCUGGUUUUGCCAAUAAUCUUACUCAGGGAUCUCAGUAAUAUUCCUGCUCUAUAUUUUAAAUUGAUAU